rnacentral:rRNA from 1 species
GUGGGGAAUAUUGCGCAAUGGGGGAAACCCUGACGCAGCAACGCCGCGUGAGUGAUGAAGGUCUUCGGAUCGUAAAGCUCUGUCGGCAGGAACGAGGGGUAGGCUGGCUAACAUCCAGCUUACUUGACGGUACCUGCAAAGGAAGCACCGGCUAACUCUGUGCCAGCAGCCGCGGUAAUACAGAGGGUGCAAGCGUUGUUCGGAAUCAUUGGGCGUAAAGGGCGCGUAGGCGGUCUGUCAAGUCGAAUGUGAAAGCCCGGGGCUCAACCUCGGAAGUGCAUCCGAAACUGGCAGACUUGAAUCUCGGAGAGGGUGGUGGAAUUCCCAGUGUAGAGGUGAAAUUCGUAGAUAUUGGGAGGAACACCGGUGGCGAAGGCGACCGCCUGGACGAAGAUUGACGCUGAGGCGCGAAAGCGUGGGUAGCAAACAGG